UACGAAGGGGCUAGCGUUGCUCGGAAUCACUGGGCGUAAAGCGCACGUAGGCGGAUUGCUAAGUCAGGGGUGAAAUCCUGGAGCUCAACUCCAGAACUGCCCUUGAUACUGGCGGUCUCGAGUCCGGGAGAGGUGAGUGGAACUGCGAGUGUAGAGGUGAAAUUCGUAGAUAUUCGCAAGAACACCAGUGGCGAAGGCGGCUCACUGGCCCGGUACUGACGCUGAGGUGCGAAAGCGUGGGGAGCAACAGG
rnacentral:rRNA from 1 species